rnacentral:tRNA from 1 species
GCGCAGGUGACGGAACCUGGUAGACGACUGGCGCUCAGAACGCCAGGCCCCGAGCGGGGCGUGAGGGUUCGAAUCCCUCCCUGCGCA